CCUACGGGAGGCAGCAGUGGGGAAUAUUGGACAAUGGGCGCAAGCCUGAUCCAGCCAUGCCGCGUGAGUGAUGAAGGCCUUCGGGUUGUAAACCUCUUUCAGCAGGGAAGAUAAUGACGGUACCAGCAGAAGAAGCCCCGGCUAACUACGUGCCAGCAGCCGCGGUAAU
rnacentral:rRNA from 1 species